rnacentral:rRNA from 1 species
AUUGAACGCUGGCGGCAGGCCUAACACAUGCAAGUCGAGCGGAUGAAGGGAGCUUGCUCCUGGAUUCAGCGGCGGACGGGUGAGUAAUGCCUAGGAAUCUGCCUGGUAGUGGGGGAUAACGUCCGGAAACGGGCGCUAAUACCGCAUACGUCCUGAGGGAGAAAGUGGGGGAUCUUCGGACCUCACGCUAUCAGAUGAGCCUAGGUCGGAUUAGCUAGUUGGUGGGGUAAAGGCCUACCAAGGCGACGAUCCGUAACUGGUCUGAGAGGAUGAUCAGUCACACGGGAACUGAGACACGGUCCAGACUCCUACGGGAGGCAGCAGUGGGGAAUAUUGGACAAUGGGGGAAAGCCUGAUCCAGCCAAGCCGCGUGUGUGAAGAAGGUCUUCGGAUUGUAAAGCACUUUAAGUUGGGAGGAAGGGCAGUAAGUUAAUACCUUGCUGUUUUGACGUUACCAACAGAAUAAGCACCGGCUAACUUCGUG